rnacentral:rRNA from 1 species
GAUGAACGCUGGCGGCGUGCCUAAUACAUGCAAGUCGAGCGAACAGACGAGAAGCUUGCUUCUCUGAUGUUAGCGGCGGACGGGUGAGUAACACGUGGAUAACCUACCUAUAAGACUGGGAUAACUUCGGGAAACCGGAGCUAAUACCGGAUAAUAUUUUGAACCGCAUGGUUCAAUAGUGAAAGACGGUUUUGCUGUCACUUAUAGAUGGAUCCGCGCUGCAUUAGCUAGUUGGUAAGGUAACGGCUUACCAAGGCAACGAUGCAUAGCCGACCUGAGAGGGUGAUCGGCCACACUGGAACUGAGACACGGUCCAGACUCCUACGGGAGGCAGCAGUAGGGAAUCUUCCGCAAUGGGCGAAAGCCUGACGGAGCAACGCCGCGUGAGUGAUGAAGGUCUUCGGAUCGUAAAACUCUGUUAUUAGGGAAGAACAAAUGUGUAAGUAACUGUGCACGUCUUGACGGUACCUAAUCAGAAAGCCACGGCUAACUACGUG